UGUCCCCGGCGCUCCGCGCUACCCGCGGUGAUGGGAUCGCUCCCGCGGGGCGUCUGCAGCCAACGGAGGGAGAACCGAACCGGGUUUUUAAUAGCGGCCCAUUAGGGCCGUCACACCAUCUCCAUCUGACAGCGUCCGAUCCACGCUGCUCUCCCGGGGCACAACGGGAGGGCAGAGCCCGGGCUCUUCUUUCCCCCCCUGGGAAAAUCACUGCCCUGCCGUUGUAUACCUCCCUUCCAAGACCUGCGCCGCUAAGGAAGGGUUCUGCACCCCGAGCCUCGGCAAGGAGACCCGACCCACGGCGUGCUUCGGGAGCGGAACAUUGCAGAGUUAAACAGAAAACAAACACACAGCAUUUUGGCUUGGAACAGAUGCAGAUAACCCCAACCCCCACAGAUCUCCCCCCCCCCCCCCCAUAUCCCACCUGUCCAUCCGACCCCGCUCUGUGCCUCCCCAUCACAGGUUGGUUUUGUCCCCAGCCCUGCACAGAAUCGCGCCUUGUGGUUCUUUUUCCAUGCACCUGCAUUGCACAGAGCACCCACAGCAGGAGCGGAGGGGGGUUAAGUGCCCUCCCAGACCCAUUCUCAGCACUGGGAUUCCUCCAGGGGGCAAAGAAGUCCC
rnacentral:lncRNA from 1 species